rnacentral:rRNA from 1 species
AUUUAUUGGAGAGUUUGAUCCUGGCUCAGGACGAACGCUGGCGGCGUGCCUAAUACAUGCAAGUCGAGCGGACUUCUUAAAAGCUUGCUUUUGAGAAGUUAGCGGCGGACGGGUGAGUAACACGUGGGCAACCUGCCUUACAGACUGGGAUAACUCCGGGAAACCGGAGCUAAUACCGGAUGAUCAAAUGGACCGCAUGGUCCGAUUGUAAAAGUUGGGAUUUAUCCUAACACUGUGAGAUGGGCCCGCGGCGCAUUAGCUAGUUGGUGAGGUAACGGCUCCCCAAGGCGA